rnacentral:rRNA from 1 species
AUUGAACGCUGGCGGCAGGCCUAACACAUGCAAGUCGAACGGUAGCACAGAGAGCUUGCUCUCGGGUGACGAGUGGCGGACGGGUGAGUAACGUCUGGGAAACUGCCCGAUGGAGGGGGAUAACUACUGGAAACGGUAGCUAAUACCGCAUAACGUCGCAAGACCAAAGUGGGGGACCUUCGGGCCUCACACCAUCGGAUGUGCCCAGAUGGGAUUAGCUAGUAGGUGGGGUAAUGGCUCACCUAGGCGACGAUCCCUAGCUGGUCUGAGAGGAUGACCAGCCACACUGGAACUGAGACACGGUCCAGACUCCUACGGGAGGCAGCAGUGGGGAAUAUUGCACAAUGGGCGCAAGCCUGAUGCGGCCAUGCCGCGUGUAUGAAGAAGGCCUUCGGGUUGUAAAGUACUUUCAGCGGGGAGGAAGGCGGUGAAGUUAAUAGCUUCACCGAUUGACGUUACCCGCAGAAGAAGCACCGGCUAACACCGUGCCAGCCGCCGCGGUAA